CCGCCUCGCCCUCGCAGUGCAUGCCGGUCUUGUGCUUGGAGUCUCCAUUUUGCCCCUAGAGAUGCUGUCUGAAGACCAGUGCUCUCUUCCUUCAGUGGCCUAGGCUGCGUCGGGGCCUGAGCUGGGGUCUGGUCCAGGGCAUGAAAGGUCUCAAAUGUUCUGACGUGGACUUGGAACACAGCUCCCCAAGCAGCAGACAUGUAGUUCUUGAACAGACUGCCUGGACCAUGGUCUGAGGUGAGUCAGUCCCAGGCUGGAAGCUGAGGACAAUAGUUUCUGUUGGCCCACUCUCACACAGUGGAGCUACUUACCAGCAUAUCUUAGCCUCCCUUGAUCCCUCAACCCAUGGGGACUCACUUUUCCUAUGUGUCAUGAUGUGUUAAAACCAGGCACAGCACUAAUGCUGGCAGGGAGAUCCCUUCCCUAGCACAAACCCUGCUGAACAUGAAUCCCGCCAAGUACUCUUCAAACCAUCUGUUCUUAACAUGUGGCAUCAUGUUGUAGCUGAGUUCCGUGAGGGAGAGCACAAAACAAGGGCAGGAGCAGGUGCUAUGGUGCCCAUAGAUUUGGGCAGCCCUUCUCUGAUGUGUGUGGACCCCAGGGUGGCACUCUUGAAUGAGCUAUGGAGAUCCAUGCCUGAGGGUGUUGGGUCAGGGAGGCAUUUGGACCCUGGCUGUGUCAAGUAGCCACGUUGAGCAACACAGGGUGUGUACCACUACCACAUGCCCAGGACAUCCUCUCACACUGUCUUUUUCAUUCCGCUACAAACCUUUGUCUACACAGGAGGAGGCAGUGUAUGUGUAGCUGCCCAAAGUCAAGUGUCACUGUUGUCUGCUGUCACCGAAAAGGUAUGGUGGGUGGAGACUGGGGAUUUAGCUCAGGGGCAUAAGCACCUGCCUUGCAAGUGUGUGGUCCUGAGUUCGAUACCUGGUACCAAUAAACAAAUGAAAAAAAAUGUAUGGUAGGUAACAAAAUCAGGUGUCCCUCAAUGAGUAACACAGGGCCUUUUUCUACUGUUAUUCCAUCUUCCAUUCCCUCAUUCCUCAGGCACCCCUCCCUCCUCCUGCUAUAUUCCAUUCUCCUCCUAAAAGUACAAAGCUGGCUGGCCUAGGGGCUGUUUUGUGCCCCUCCCAUCCCAUUCUGUCUGAGAGAGAAUCCUGUUCCCACAAGUAUGGCUGAUUGGUUAUCACCUAGGACAAGCUGGGUCUAGCCUGUGUUGCACUUGGUCCAGGCCUUAUGACUGAAGAGCCCCUAAUUUUAGCUCCCAGCUCUAGAAGUUCUCCUCAGAACAUGGUGCUCAGAAUUGAGGUCUCAAAGUCAGUCUGGAAAUCCCUAUCUGUGGAACAUCUAAGGAGGUGACUUAAUCUGUGUGUUACCAUGUGAUGCGUGAAUAUCUGGAUAUGUGGGCAGACAAAUGUAGAUGCUUCUGUCUGGCACAAUCCAAGUAGAAACAGUAUCUUUGAAAUGGCUCCUGUGGGAUGGGCAGGAUUGGAUCUGGCUAGGGAACAAAGGCUAUGUGCACCAUACAUUGAAGCAGGGCCCUGAGAUCUGGACCACACAUUGGAAAGAAGGGAAAUAAGGGUGCCCCAGCACAAUAGUGUCUGGGGAUAAAUUCUUCCCAACUGUUACCAUCCAUCUCUGUUCUGUCCCAAACCAAAUGACUGUGUUAUAAAGGCAUGGCAGUGUCAUCACCCUGCUAUUUGUAUGUCUCUGGGUCCUUCAAGAGUGGAGAGUACCUGGAAAGGAGUUGGCCCAAGGCUUACCUGUGCAUAAUAUUCCUCUGUAUCAGUGACUGACCCUCAGGUAAGAUGGUCAUGGCCACUGUCAUCUCUUUUUUCUGUCUGGCCAUCUAGUUGCCAGGCACCACUGUAUUCCCACUUUCCUGCCUAUUGGCUCCAGAAGAAAACACCUAGUUUUCUGGUCUUGGUGUUGGUGAGGAUUUAGCCUAGUUUGGUGGGGUGGGGCAGGAAUCUGUGUGAUCAGCAAUGGGGCAGCUGAGUUUUGAGUGGCCACUGAGUGGGGCAAGAACUUAAUAUAUUUCAUCCCCCACCACAUUGAUGUGGGGCCUUUGUGUAUAAAGCAGGGUUCAUUUCAGUUAGCUGUCACUUUUUACUACAUCUUUCUAUCUCAAGACCAUUUACUGGAAAGUUGUGUGUAUGUGACACAGUAUGUCACAUAUAAAACUAUGCUGAUAAAACUAUGUUGAAGGCCCCACUGAGCAUCUCCACCCAGACUGCUGGGCAGCAGCUCAGCCUUUGAAAUGUAGUGAGGGCUGGGGAUUUAGCUCAGCGGCAUAAGCACCUGCCUUGAAAGUGUGCAGUCGUGAGUUUGAUCCCUGGUACCGAUAAAAAUGAAAAAGACAAAAAAGAAAUGUAGUGAGAGAGGCAAGGGAGGAAGGUGGAGGAAGACAAGAGUCUUUCUCCAAGACAGCAGUUGCAGAGGAGCCAGGGCACCUCCAGCUGUCCCUGUUACACCCACUUCUGAGCCUGUAUCCUGAGGCCAGAGAGGAGACAGCAGUUUUGAUCACUUUGAUAGAAAUCAGGGGUCUAAGCAGAGUUACAAAUACAGGACUUGGGAGCCAGACUGAGUGUUCCUGCAGAAGAUUUGCCUGUGUUUGGUUUUCACCUUCUUUCCAUUACUUAGUCAUCACCAGCUAUUGGUGGUGUGAGUUUCAUUGUCUCCCCAAGUGUGAUCUGCAUCUGGGGAGCUCUGGUACCCAGCACACAGUGAGUCCUCUAUGUGUCUCUGUUAGGUUGUGCAUAGAGAAAAGUAUAAAAUUGCAUGUUCCUAUGAUAGGAGGAUUUGCCACAAAAAUUCCAUUAGCAAGGACGCAGACUGAGGACAGCUGAUGCUUUGUUCUACAGAUUUGCAUUUGCACAAAGGAAACAUUGCUGGCCAACGAGAGUGUGUAUUUCCUGUGUGAGAUUUUUCAUCAGUAGCUCUUUAUUUCCCCACAUGUCAGAAGUGGAUUUUCUUGCUUUGUGUUUUGUUUACAGACAACUGUAUAUUUUUUCUAACUACAUAUUUACAGUGUAUACUGAUUAUGUUGGUGUUAGGACCAGGGCACAUGUGGUGCAGAGUACAUAUUGGGCCCUAUCUUUUGCACAGUGGUACAAUCCAACCACCAGUGAUUGCUCUCAAAGUUUUGUGCAUUGAGCACACAGCUCAGUGCCAAGACAUUGCCAGCAUAAGGUGCUGCUUUGUCUCGGUUGUCCUUUCUUUAUGACAAAUACAGUGGGUAAUGAUGCAAUAAUUGGGAGCUUAGUCCAACCCUAACCCUAAGUCUAACCUACCCCUAAACCUAACUCUAACCCAAGAUAGUCACUACCAACAUUCCUGGCCAAAGAAAACUUUAUGGCACUGAUGUGGGAAAUGCAAUAUAGGUUAAGUAUGAGGACAUACAAUCAGUGGUGGCUGGGAUGGGGCAAGAGGGGAAAGAAAAGAAAACACCAUUGUGUAAAAUUUGAAGAAUAUGUUCUGGAAGUGGACUUGGGGAAAUUUGCUCACCAUUGAGAAUGCAAUGAAUGUCAGCAAGGUGACUAUUUUAAACAAACCUAAAAUCUUAAAUUUUACCUAUAUUUGUUCUAUCACUAAUGUAAAUAAGUGUAGCUGUGAAAACAAUCGUAAGUAAAUCUGGAAGAGAGGGGAAUGGCAGGUGUGGGUCAAGAACUGCCUGCAGUUAGAGCUCGAGAGAUGGCUCCUGAGUGGAGCCACCAGGAGGCUCAGAACUUCAGCUGCUGGACAAAGGAAUCCAGGUGCUGGCUCUUGCUCUGGGAUCACAGCUGGUUAGGGAGCUGCAGGUAGAGCUGGCCCAAGUUCUGCAGGUGCAACUUCUGCAUGGGCUGAGCCUGGCCCUGUAGUUGCAGGAAAUGAAAAGAUUGCCAACUUUCCAUGGACUUCCUGGGCAAAACCUUCCCACUGCCUGUCAGAGGCAGCCAUGUGCACCAACACAGCCCCAGGAACGCCUCCUGACUGCAUCCCCACACCGACUGCUGAGUGUGUCAUACUCCUGGGUCACCCAGCAUCUGGGCUCUUUGCUGAGUUCCAAGGCCAUCAACUCCCCACAACCCUACAUCCUACACUCCAGAGAUAGUUACCCUGUGGCUCAGUCUCUGGGGCUCCAGCUGGUCCAGGAGAAGCUCAGCCUGGGGAUCCACAUGGGUAUAUACUUCCAAUGUGGCCUCAAGCACAGAAGAACUGGGGCAGACAGGGAACCAGCAGAGUGAGAGACCUGGGCUUUCCUCCCACAUUGCCUGCACAUCUCACUUGUAGAGAGGGGUUUGUGGACCUCCUGCCCAGUUGAUACAAUGUCCAGCCCCAUCCUCACCCACCCACAAUUGGGCAGUGAGGGCCCAAGGAGCCCUUAGUGGCUGAAAGAAGUCUCAUUGGGAGGGAGACCUUGCUUAGUUUUAUCAUGCAUCUACAUUCUUUAGUGAAUCCUGACACAGUAUCUCCCUACCCCUCCCCAGUGAAAGUCAGCUUGGAGAAGGUAGAGACUGCAAUCUGCCCUGUCUUUGCACUCAAAGGCUCAGGGCUGCCACUCCAUGAAUAUCUGAGAAGUGAGGGAUCAAUCAGUGUCUGUCCUGCAUCUCUGCAGUCUCUAGCUCAGGGAGUGAUGCAUUGCCCAGUUCUCUUUGCCUCUGUAUAGCUCCUUGUGCAUGGUCUGUACACACAACUAGGGAUGCCUGGAGACUGGAACAAUGGCUUUGAGGUGAGCAAUAUAUGUUCUGCUGCCAAGGGUUACUCUGUGGCCUCCCACAAACAUCAAAACUCAAAAGGGCAGUGGUUCCACAGGCUCUGCUUACAGAAUCUUGGUUAAUACCCAGAAACGUGCUUUCACACAGUGUGUCUUCAUAUACAAUUGUGGGUUGGUAACACCUAUCUGCUCUUCCUUUCUGUCUGACAGCUAUGGACAAUUUGCCAUUCUCAAGAUUUCCUGUCAUGGAGUGACUCUCCGAUCUCCUUUCUGAUGAACAGAACUGCAUCCACCAAGUGUUGGUCACUGGGUGGGAUGGAAGAUCAUCCAUCAGAAUUAUCACAGCCUAUAUAGCAGGUCUUCAUGGGGCCAAGGCCACAGCUAACUGCUUGGCAUGGAGCCCCCAUUUCAUCCUCAGUGACCCUAAGCUCUCAAUCCACUCAUUCCUGACCUGUUUGGCACUGUAAACUAGGGUUGACUGAGGCCCUUGCAUAGGGCCAGGACCUGAAUCCACAGUGACCAAUUCCCACUGGGCUGCUUAGCCCGGAGGCUCCUGCAAAAGGACCUGCAGUGCAUGGAAAAAUCCCAUGAGAUGAGUGCCAGAGAACUGGACAGAGUGGACUGACAUUUGAGGUGAGCACACAUCUGGUGAGGUGAUGCUGUGUAAGAGCUGGGGACAGUGGAGGAAGACGCCUUGCUAAUGGUCCUUGGACACCAGGCCCAGUACAGAAAAUGAGGUACAAUGGCAGAAUUCAUUCAUGACAAGAAAUGAAAUGAUUUUGUGUCUGUUUCCUUUCUCCUCUUCCAUCAAUAUGUGUACAGUGACCUUGCCUGUGACAAGGUAGAGGCUUAGUAGAGAGGAUAUGGUAGUUGAGCACUUGCAGUCCAGAUUCCUUUGGAGCAAGACCAUGGGCCCAGUGUUUGACAAGCCCUGGAUAGAGGCGUUGGAAGGGUUAAUCAGACCCAAAGUUCCUCUUAGUCAUGUGUGGGCCUCCAUACAUUCCCUUCUGCUCACAUUCUCUGCACUGGAGCCAAUACCUCCUGUUAUUGUGGGUCUCAUCUCUGGAGCAGGGAUGUGGCACACAGGGCCCAGGGUCCUCCUCCAUGCCAAUGUCCUGUGUACAGCAUGGUUGGGGCAGUGCCCAGUAUCCAACAGGAAGCCUGAGACUCUGAGACACCACAGGUUUCACUUUGUGAACCCAGAUAACCUUAUGUUCCUCAAAGACUAACAGCUCUGUCCCAGACUUCUACCCAGGAGGAUAGGAGAUGACUCUGCAGGCUUUGGAUACACAUGAGCACUGCCCUUCUCCUCCUGCCAGCCCUGUCCUGGGUAGGAACAUGACAGGAGCACAGACCUACACUUCCCAACACCUACCCCUGCCCCAGAGCAUCUGCCUUCACUGCCUGUCCUCAGAGGCCUUAUACUGAUGAUUUAGGAUGGGAAUUGUUUAGGAGAAUUCACAGAGGUGGCUAGGCCUUAAUGUUCUGUCCUCUAGUUGGUGUCUCUCAGUGGCUGGUUGCUGAGUCUAGGGACACCUGUCCUGGGCUCCCUCUUUUUUCUGGUGUCUUGGGGUUGGGGCUCUUGGGCCCUGCUCUGUGCUGCCCUUGAUUUUAGGCAGUUCCCGGUGAGCUUCCUGAAACAUCUUGGCCCAGUGAACCAUCCCUUCACUCAUUCUCAUGUGGUUUUCCCAUGCAGGGUUAAGAAGCUGGGGCUUCAAAGCCUCAGAAAGCAGCACAGCAUAUUCACUGGUCACUCUCAUGAGCCAAGUGCUGGUGAAGGUCAACUGCCACCAGACAAAGGUGCCUGGUAACCAGAACCUUCAAAGUUCUGUUUAGACCUGUUGCCAAGGAAGUUGUGUCAUGUGCUGGGGUCCAUAGCUGUGCUGCCCCCUCCCAUGCCUCUUUGCUUUUUAUUGUGGAACAAAUUUGUGUUCCUUAGAAAUGGCAAGUGAAAACUAGAAAACAGAAGGUGGUUUUACACUUUUCUUCACUUUGAAAUUUUUCAUACAACAAAUGUAAAUGCUUCAGAAGUGGCAGGAUGGGUGCCAAGUGCACAUUUCCACCCAUAAAGUGUUUUUCAUUGAGAAUUAGGCUUCACUUAGAGAUCUGUGAAAUUUUAGGAUGAGUUUCUUUCCUUGGUUUAUGUUAGUUUCAUUUCAACUCCAUUUGGGAGUAUGGAGAUGUUCCCAGAAUAACCAUAAUAAUUUUCUUUGAAGUAUGUGAAUGUUUCAUGUUAUAACCUCCUCCUGUCCAGGGGAUGAGGAUUCCUAGGAAAUUUGACUUUCAUGGGCCUAUGAGUGAUUACUUAUUACUUAGGUAUUUAACUCAGCCACACACUGUAGCUCCAUACUCUGACAUCCUGUGGAGUGGAGAGCAGGUGAUGAUUACAAGGGGAGGCUUUCCAAGGCCAUGGACAUCAUCAUCUCAUGCUGAGGAAGGACACAUGCACAUCACUCCUGGGGAACUUGUCUCAUAGCCACUGAUAUCACUUCCAGUCCUCCCAUCCCAAACAGACCAUGGGCUUUGUGUCCCUGCUGGGUAGUUUGCCUUUCCUAGAGGUGAUGGCCCUGAGGCUGAUCAGGCAAAAUGCUCUCUAGUUGGUCUCCUUCAAGCAGUGUCUCCAUGCUGGGCUCCCAGUGUGCUGCCACCACAUGCCAUUGGGGGGCUGAACAAAACCAGCGGUCACAUGUUCAUGCACCCCUCACCCAUCGGCUGAUGUCCAUUUCUUCUGUUUCUGGGUCAACCCUUGAAAGCAAGCUGCCACAGCCAUUCUUAUUCAUGGGCUUGAGUGGAUGCAGUCUUUCAUUUUAAAGAAAAACUACUUAAAUGUGAAAUUAAUGGAUUAUAUUACUAGUUUAUGGCUAACAGAAAUUCUUAAAGUAUCUUUGGAAGCAGUUGUUUAAAGCAGAGUUAGGUGGUUGCUUUUCAUUUUGUUUUAUUAUGGUAUACUGUGCUAUGCUAUAUUAUGUUACAUUGUGUUAUAUGUUCGCGAGGAUUUUGAAACUGUAUUUUCUGUGGUUUCUGAUUUGAUUUUGUAUAUUCAGUCUGAGAAAAUAUAAGAUUAUCACAUAACUCUGAGUAAGUUUUUUGGAGAAAAUUUUAAAAGGAAAACACAGUCAGUGAUGUUGGUACACACCUGUCAUUUCUGUUCUCAGAGGUUGAGGCAGGUGGAUUGUUGUAAGUUUCAGGUCAUCGGGGCUACAAGGGAAGAUCAAAGCCAGCUUCAACUGUAUAGCAGAACCCAAUCUCAAAAAAAGAAUGAAAGAAAAAAAGAAAGAGAGAAAGAAAAGAAGAAAAAAUUAAAAAGUUUAAAAAUAUGAAGUCAAAUAUCACCUGUGAAUUCAGAAUAAAAACAUAUGUGAGUUUUUCUUGCAAAUGUACUUUAGUCAGCACACCUAGCAUAAGGUUUACCAUCAUGUAGACAUUGAUGUGCUGACAAGUUUGCAUUGUUUCAAUUUUUUUGAAUAUUUUACAGAGGUAACUGCAGAUAUGCUACUGAAUAUAAUUUCUUAGGAUUUGAGUAGCUCAGUGUGAAGAGAAUGUGAUCAUUGCUUUUUUUCCUCUCCUAAAUUUAUAUUUAGAAUCAGAAGUUGAUCAAGGGAUUGCUAUUUUUUUGAAAUAAUAAUAAGGGCCAUAUAAAAUAUACUCUUUUAACUCUUAGUAAAGAUAAAAUAAUUGUAGAAUAACAGUGGUUAAUGUACCUUGCAUAGUGAUUUCUAGGAUUUCUUAAUGAUCAAUAAUUUCAUACAUUUGUAAAAUUUUGUUUUUAAAGAUUUUAAGACAUAGUCUCACCAGUUUUCUGAGUUUCCCAUGCUAGGCUUAAACCCUUCAUCCUUCUUCACACUGUCAGAGGGCUGGGAUUACAGGUGUACAUUAUUCUGAGUGGCAAUUGGCAAACAAUUUUGCAUAUUCAUGGAAUAAAAUAUUUGACUUUGAUCUUUAGACUUUGUAGAAAGAAUCCAUAUAGUUAAGCUUUCUACCACCUUCCUAAUCUGCAGUUUCUUUCACAAUGAGUAGGACUGAAAAUCCAGUUAACAAUAUUGUUAGAGUCACUGCUUUUUAACUGUAACUGUGGUCAGCAUGCACUUCAGAAUAUCACUGCAAAUGCCUUCCAGUGGGGGUCUCAGGCUUGAUAUCCCCAAAGCACUUUCUCUUUUUCUCUGAUCACUCAUGGAAAUUGAUGAUUGGUGUUAAAUCCCAAGAAAGAUGUGAAGGUUAAGCCCACUUGGGGCGCACUGCCCUCCAGAAGGCCAGGCCAGGAUAAAACACUGUUGCCUUCCCUUCUACUUUCCAAGGUUUUGUUUUGGUUAUGGUUUAGGUUUUCCAUUCAGUUUCUAGACGUUGAAUACAGAGCUUUUGCAUUAAGUUCUAUUACAUUCUACUUUUAAAAGUCUUCCUUUUGGUCUUUUUUUGUUAUCGGUACCAGUGAUGGAAUUCAUGAUUGCCUACUUGCAAGACAAGCGCUUAUGCCACUGAGCUAAACCCCCAGCCCAAAAAGUCUUCAUUUUUUUGAGGAGUUUCUCAAUGAGUUGCUAAGUUGGGGAGUCUAUCCUUGAAUUUAUGAUGUUCCUGCCUCAGCCUUCCAGAGUGAUAGGAUUACAAGACACCCCACCAGACGUGCUUUCAUCCUGGUGUUAUUAAAAACUCACUGGCUGAGCAAGGAAUGGUGAAAAUACCUGCAAUGUUAGCAUUCAGGCCACUGAGGCAGCAGGAUUAAUGGGAGUUUCAGACAAGCCUGCAACACACUCUAAUUUCAGCUCAGGGCAGAUCAACAGAGGGAGAACCUGAAAAGAAAAAGUAAAGGAAAAUAUAGGAAAGGACAGGAAUGGAGUGAAGAAACAAAUCCAAAUUCCUCGUGACUCUAUGAGUCGGUUUGUCUUUGGACUAGUCAUUUUCAUCUGUGGUCCAAUUAUUUCAGUAUAAGAACCUUUUGACUGCUGUCACUUUAUAAUGUAUUUGGAAACCAGGUAUUUUGUGCUUCUACCUUUAAUGUUCUUUACAUGGCUAGAGGAUGACACUUUGUCCUUCCUUGUGAAAUUUCAUAUU